rnacentral:rRNA from 1 species
CAGCCGCCGCGGUAAUACGAAGGGUGCAAGCGUUAAUCGGAAUUACUGGGCGUAAAGGGCGUGUAGGCGGCCUGGGGCGUCCCAUGUGAAAGGCCACGGCUCAACCGUGGAGGAGCGUGGGAUACGCUCAGGCUAGAGGGUGGGAGAGGGUGGUGGAAUUCCCGGAGUAGCGGUGAAAUGCGCAGAUACCGGGAGGAACGCCGAUGGCGAAGGCAGCCACCUGGUCCACUUCUGACGCUGAGGCGCGAAAGCGUGGGGAGCAAACCGGAUUAGAUACCCCAGUAGUCCCUGUCUCUUAUAC